AUUGAACGCUGGCGGCAGGCCUAACACAUGCAAGUCGAGCGAGCGGCGGACGGGUGAGUAAUGUAUGGGGACUGCCCGAUAGAGGGGGAUAACUACUGGAAACGGUGGCUAAUACCGCAUACUAUCGGAGAACCACUAUGGGAUUAGCUAGUAGGUGGGGUAAAGGUGCACCUAGGCGACGAUCUCUAGCUGGUUUGAGAAGGUGAUCAGCCACACUUGGACUUGGACACGGCCCAGUCUCCUACGGAGGCAGAAGUGGGGAAUAUUGCACAAUGGGCGCAAGCCUGAUGCAGCCAUGCCGCGUGUAUGAAGAAGGCCUUAGGGUUGUAAAGUACUUUCAGCGGGGAGGCGUUACCCGCAGAAGAAGCACCGGCUAACUCCGUGCCAGCAGCCGCGGUAAUAC
rnacentral:rRNA from 1 species